AAUUCCCUUACCCUCAAGAUUUCAUCACCUCAUAGAGACAAACUUUAUAAAAAAGAUAAGUAGAGCCAACUAUAGUUCCUUCAUUAAUGUGAGCAGUUCUACAGAGUGUGUGGGAUAGCAGUAGCAGGAAGAACAGUGAUGAAAGCUUUUCAAAGGAAGACUUUCAAGCUAAGAGCUGAAGCAUUAAGAGCUUGAUAUUUUAGAUAUUUUAUUUUUUGUAAAUGAUGUAUCUCUUGCUCGCGACCUGGGUGGGUGGCAACCCAGGCAGGCGGUGAGAAUGGGGUUCCCUUCAGUGGAAUGGGCUGGCCAAGAAAUACAAGCUAAGAAAAACAGAAUGAAAAAAAAAAAAAAAAAACACAGGACACAGAGAGUAGUUGCAGAAGUGGGGGCAGGAUGGGCAAGCCAAUCAGACAGAUUGAGCUUCUAUACUAUGGCAAAAUGGAGCCCAAGCCUGCUUUAUUUAUAUUGGGAAACAUCAAAGGCUUUCCAUAAAAUGUUCUUCACCAAAAUAGGUUAAAGAUAUGCUGUUCAGUUCCUAACAGAUUACACCCAUCCCUGGAGCUACUAUAAAGUAUUUUCCUAGUAGAGUGGAGAUAAAGGUCAUGUGCAUUGGGCAAUCUAUUGCUAUGGGAGAGCCACGGAUAGUUUGAGAUGCCAAACCUAAAUCUCCC
rnacentral:lncRNA from 1 species